rnacentral:rRNA from 1 species
CCUACGGGCGGCAGCAGUGGGGAAUAUUGGACAAUGGGCGAAAGCCUGAUCCAGCCAUGCCGCGUGUGUGAAGAAGGCCUUCGGGUUGUAAAGCACUUUCAGUGGGGAAGAAAGCCUUGGGGCUAAUACCCUCGAGGAAGGACAUCACCCACAGAAGAAGCACCGGCUAACUCCGUGCCAGCAGCCGCGGUAAUACGGAGGGUGCGAGCGUUAAUCGGAAUUACUGGGCGUAAAGCGCGCGUAGGCGGUCUGAUAAGCCGGUUGUGAAAGCCCCGGGCUCAACCUGGGAACGGCAUCCGGAACUGUCAGGCUAGAGUGCAGGAGAGGAAAGUAGAAUUCCCGGUGUAGCGGUGAAAUGCGUAGAGAUCGGGAGGAAUACCAGUGGCGAAGGCGGCCUUCUGGACUGACACUGACGCUGAGGUGCGAAAGCGUGGGUAGCAAACAGGAUUAGAUACCCCGGUAGUC